CAAAUCCUCCAGACACACAGAGUUACAGACAGAGAACAACUGGCGCCAUGCUGUGCGUUCCCACCCAUCUUCAGCACGUUAGGGAAGUGAGAUGGUGUGCCAUAUGGAUUCUCAAGCAGUCCAGUAAAGAGGACUCUGGGGACCGAAACCAAAACUUCCUGCCAAGGCACACAGCGUUGAAGGAGCUCUUGGGGGAUCAACCAUUCCAACCCUAUGGGUUUUUUUUUAACCAAUACCCCAGAACACAGUUAUGAAGUCUAUGUUGCAGAUGGGUCAACAAAUAUACUUCAUAUAUUUUUUUUCUGCUUUAAAUUAAACCUUUAUUUAGGUUUUACAGACUUUGAGAACUAAGCAGCUGUUUAUAUUUUAAAGAAAUCCUUCUAGGCAGUGUAGAAAACAUUCAGACGUUUAAGAGGCAGUAAGACCUCUGCUCUGUGUUUACUGGGUAACUUUGGGCAAAGCACUGAAUGUCCAGUUGCCACUCAGGGAUUCUAAUUACAUUGUGCUUGGAUGGAGCCUGCACAUGGGGUUUUGUAAAGCCCUCUAUAUAAUUCAGAGUGCAUCCAGAAUUGCAAACUACUGAUAUAAUCUCUUAUAGUCUCGGUUUGGAGGUAGUAAUACGGAGCCCUUGGUGGUUUUUGUGAGGAUUAAGGAUAAGUAAUUAAGACGAAGCUCCAAGCAUGGUGUUUGGCAAAUAGCUGGUACAUGAUGGAUGCUAUCCAGGAGUAUUUGAGGUUUGUUUUAAAAAUUUUUAUUGUGUUACAUAAAGAUUCAGUACUUGCUUAGAUACGUCCAUUCAUUAUUUUUCCCUGGUGAGUCCUAAGGCUUUCAUAUUUAGAAAUCCCUUUCCCUUCAAGUGUCUUAUGAGUUCAUUUUUAUGUUUAUCCCACCUAUCUGGAAUUUACUUAAGCAUAUAAUGCAAGGUGAGGCUAGGAGUUACCUUUUUUCUAAAGAGUCCAUUUUCCCCUGACAUGCCCUAAAUCCUCUCCUUCAGCCAUUGAUUG